UGUGCAUCGACGAAAAGGCCCGAACGUCUGGUAGGACCAGACAGAACUGACUCUACUAUGCACGUGUUAAUCUCAAAAAGCUACACCUACAAAAUAUCAAAGAUUCGAAAAAAAUGAAAAUAUGAGAUAAUCGAUUAUUUUCAAAAGUGAUACACGAUGCUAACACGAUCGAUGAAACUACUGUUGAUUGUAUUUACAGUCAUACCAAAAAAGGCGUACUACUGGAUAAUGAGUUCGAUAAGUAUACCGGUAUGUUUAGUGUCAAGGCAAUACUCUCUGUGGGUGAAGGGUACUUGAAAGAAGAACCAGUGUGAUGCUGUAUAUAAAUGUACUCGACCUUUCUUUAAUGCAUAACCUUCUUUUCAAAACGACAUUAUCAAGAAAUGACGGAGCACGGGCACCACCAUGUGUAUACAUACGCACCCACUGACACGCGUGGAAUAAACGCAACACGCGCUACUCGAGUCACGUGGUACUGUUAUGCGAAUCACCGAUUGGCUGACGAAUCAG